GAACUUGCAUCGAACUGUGGAUUGAGUACAGGGAGAGAGUGACUCCGAGUAGCGGUGGAAUGCGUAGAUAUCGGGAGGAACCACCGGUGGCGAAGCGGCUCUCUAUCCUGAUACUGACACUGAGGCGCGAAAGCCAGGGAGCGAACGGGAUUAGAUACCCGGUAGUCCUGGCUGUAAACGAUGGGCAUUAGGUGUAGAAGCAUUAUGCUUUUUGUGCCGUAGCUAACGCGAUAAAUGCCCCACCUGUGGAGUACGGUCGCAAGGCUGAAACUCAAAGNAAUUGACGGGGGCCCGCACAAGCGGUGGAGCAUGUGGUUUAAUUCGAUGCAACGCGAAGCACCUUACCGGGGCUUGACAUUUACUUGACUGCAUGGGAAACCAUGUUUUCUCUCCCAAGAGACAGGUAAACAGGUGCUGCAUGGCUGUCGUCAGCUCGUGUCGCAAGAUGUUGGGUUAAGUCCCAAAACGAGCGCAACCCCUAUCUUCAGUUGCCAUCUUCUCCGAUUUUCGGGGAAAGGAACUCUGGAGAGACCGCCCUGGUUUAAACGGGGAGGAAGGUGGGGAUGACGUCAAGUCCUCAUGGCCUUUAUGUCCCGGGCUACACACGUGCUACAAUGGUCUGUACAGAGGGUCGCGAUGCCGCGAGGUUCAGCUAUCCCUAAGCAGGCCUAGUUCAGAUUGGAGUCGCAUUCGACUCCAU
rnacentral:rRNA from 1 species